rnacentral:rRNA from 1 species
GACGAACGCUGGCGGCGUGCUUAACACAUGCAAGUCGAGCGGUAAGGCCCUUUCGGGGGUACACGAGCGGCGAACGGGUGAGUAACACGUGGGUGACCUGCCCUCAGCUCUGGGAUAAGCCUGGGAAACCGGGUCUAAUACUGGAUAUGACUCCAUGACGCAUGUUGUGGGUGAAAGCCUUGUGCGGCUGAGGAUGGGCCCGCGGCCUAUCAGCUUGUGGUGGGGUNANGGCCUACCAAGGCGACGACGGGUAGCCGGCCU